rnacentral:misc_RNA from 1 species
UUGGACUACUAGGGUAUCUAAUCCCGUUUGCUCCCCUGGCUUUCGCGUCUGAGCGUCAGUACUGGCCCAGAAGGCCGCUUUCGCCACUGGUGUUCCUCCGGAUAUCUACGCAUUUCACCACUACACCCGGAAUUCCGCCUUCCCAUACCACUCUCUAGUUUGGCAGUCUUGAGCAACCUCUCCCAGUUGAGCCGGGAGCUUUCACACCCAACUUACCAUACCGCCUGCACGCGCUUUACACCCAGUAAAUCCGGAUAACGCUCGCCUCCUACGUUUUACCGCGGCGGCUGACAC